ensembl:lncRNA
UUACACACAAGUCACAUUUACACACAAGUCACAUUUACACAAGUCACAUUUACACACAAGUUACAUUAACACACACAAGUCACACUUACACACAAGUCACAUUUACACACAAGUCACAUUUACACAAGUCACAUUUACACAAGUCACAUUAACACACGUCACAUUUACACAAGUCACAUUUACACACAAGUUACAUUAACACACACAAGUCACACUUACACACAAGUCACAUUUACACACAAGUCACAUUUACACAAGUCACAUUUACACACGUCACAUUUACACACGUCACAUUUACAACACUCACAUUUACACACAAGUCACAUUUACACACAAGUCACAUUUACACAAGUCACAUUUACACACAAGUCACAUUUACACACAAGUCACAUUUACACAAGUCAUAUUACACACAAGUCACAUUAACACACAAGUCACAUUUACACAAGUCACAUUUACACACAAGUUACAUUAACACACAAGUCACACUUACACAAGUCACAUUUACACAAGUCACAUUUACACAAGUCACAUUCACACACAAGUCACAUUUACACAAGUCACAUUUACACAAAUGUCACUUUUAUGAACAAAUCACAUUUACAAACAAGUCACAUCUAAUUAACAAGUAACCUUUACACACAAGUCACAUUUACAAUCAAUACUCAUAAGAAUAAAAGUAAAAAUGCAGGUUUGUGUACAGAUCAUAUCCUUCCUUCCUAACUUCCUUCCUUUACUCCUUUCUUUCUUUACAUGAAUAGGAAGUAAUAUGAUUUACAUGUAUCAUGUACAGUAGCAUGAUUUCAAGUGAAUAGUUACUCCUCUCCACUGUGUUUCUUUUUUUGUCAGCGUUUUUACGUCAGCGUUCAGUCCCGUCGGCUUCCUAAUAAUAAUCUAGCUAAAAAACAUCAUUACCUACAUUAACACCAAAAACCAAUCGCUAUUACAAUUUUAACAAUCACGAAACACUCCUAAAAACCUCCCUAUGAGUUUCCCUUACAGCUCUCGAUCCGAGACUCACUGUAUCAGGAAUCCUCCUGCGUCCUCAGAGAAGCGACCGCCAGCCAACAGCGACAAACACGGUCCCGUGAAAAUGAAGUCAAUAAAACUCUGAGCAGCCUCGGUUCAGAGCGUGCGUUC